AGAAAGCAAAAGCAAGUGACAGACAGCGAAUGAACUGAAAUAUAAAGAAACGAUGGCCUUUGCAGGUAUUGAUAAUCCAACAGAUGAAGACACAUUGAGUUCUUCACCCUCUAAACUGAACAAAGGAUCACCAAGACGCAUAUCAACAGCUGUUGAUAAGUCAUCACCAUCGAGAGGGCACAGACUAUCGGCGAACCCCCCAAAAAACAUAUCCUUCAAAAGUCACCUGGGCGCAUGUCAUCUUCCCCUGUUGAAACAUCCUUACCAUCAAGAGGGCACAUACCAUCGUCCUGGACUAGUGACAAAUUUAUUCCACAUAAUUGGAAGUAGUUUUGAUGUUCUGAAUAAUGAGAAUAACCAGUUUCCUCAGUAUCAAGAUGUGUCGUUUCAACCUGACGAAGUGGUUGGUGAAUUUGGGUACAACAACACAUCAACAUGCUCAACAUCUAGCUUCCCAGUUCAACCUCUCAUAGAUUACUACCAGGGGUUACCUUAUGAAGCACAAACGCAGAUUUUGUCCUUCUGUCAUGUGCUGACUAGCACUCUACACCAAUAUAUGGUACCACCCUUGAUAAUGUUGCUGAAUGCAGUGAAAUGUCCAUGCAAAGAAACUCUGCACAGGAUGGUUUUAUGUCACAGGAAGUUCAGCAAUUGGAUGCAAAACCGCAAACUGAGAAAGCUGCCUCUCAUCAAGGAUGCUGAUAAUAUUUACAUAGACGUUUUGGUGAACCCAGCCACUUUACGAACUCCUGAAAUGAAAGCCUUAACAGCGAAAAAUCCAGUAAUAUACCUGCUGAGCAAAGUGCUGGAUUUGGUGUUCUCCGAAGAAGAACUCAGGAAUACGAAGGGUGCUAGAGGAUUGGACAAAGACAAAAUGGAUGCCCUCAAAGAAUAUAUGUUCUCCAAAUGCCAGAGUUUACAGAUUGAACAUCUUAGACCAAUAGUAUUCAACACCACCAUUCAAAACAAGAUCGGCAACAUAAGACAAAAGAAGAGCUGUGUAAAAGGAAGCGUAUUCCAGAUAUCAUUCAAUUUGGAUAAGGAAAUCAUCAACAGUUACAUGUCUCCGACAGAAAUAACUGUUGUAGACAUUCUUCAGUCUCCUAUCAAAAGAAUGGUCUCUACACCAGGAAUAUUUUCAAGGAAUCAGCCAACAAAUGUGUCAGCUGUAAGAACUCCCAUUAAUGGAAGUGGAAGUGUGUUGAAAACACAAAUUCAACAAAUAUUGGCAAAUCAGAAUGAGAUAAUUCAACAGCUGAAUACUGUCAAGAAAGAUGUGAAAGAAAUUAAAGGAGAAAUGGAAAAAAGAAAACUGGAAACCAAUGAACCUAUUCAAGUUCCAAACAGAAUAAGAUGCCGUGAAGGACGCAUUUUUAAAUGGUCAACAGAGCGACAAUCUCAGCUGGAACUGCAGCAAAAGAUUCAUGGAUGAAGAGAAUUUGGAGUUGACAGACUUUAUCAAAAAAUAGUGUUCAGGGCAUAGCUCCUGAGGAGAAGUGAAAUUGAAGUGAUAAAUGCCGCCAUUAAACAAUACUUCACUUCCCAAAAAGAGGCAGCAAACAGGCAGAAGAAGAAUAAAACAGAAAUUCACAAAAAGAGACAGGCGACGUACGAAAGAAAGAAAGAG
rnacentral:sRNA from 1 species